AUUUGCAGUGCUAGAGAAAAAAGCCACCAUAAAAAAAGACAAUUAAAAUUUCACUAAGUUCUUAUACAAAUGGUAGAUAAUUAAAAAUAGAAUGCUAUACUGAUAAUAGUUUAAAGGACAAUGCUGGAUUUGUACGCAUUUCCCUUUGAAGGUUGUAGGUUUAUGCUUGACUAAUUCUUUUGAUAACAUCCCUGGAAAUAUUAUUUUUUUUGAAGUAGUUGGUGUUGACAAUUUUAAAUUCUACAUUCACAUCGUUUACUAUUUUGGGAUGUGCAUUUAAAUGGGUAACUAUCAAGUACCCAUAGGAAAAUAGAAAAACAUGAAGUCUUUCACAUUUUAUGUAGUGUAGCUGUGUCCAAGUAAGGUCUGAGCUUUAAGAGACACUUGUUUCAUUCAGAGGACCACUUUAAUUUAAAGAGAGCAGGUGAUUCUAUCGAAAUCCAUGUGGAUUACAUGCAUCCUGUAUCUUGCAUCGAGCACUGGACCCUAGUGGUUAACACACUGUCUAGCAUGUAGGAACGACCUCAAUAUUUGUUGGAUGGGUAAACUCUGACUGAUUAAUGGAAAUACUAUAAAAAUGUGAUUGUGUGUGUAUGUGUGUGUGUGGUGUGGUGUGGUUUUUAGAUAGGAGAUACUAAUUCAUUCAUGCAUUAUUGAGUGGAGAAUAGUUUGUAAAACAAAGGUUUAAAUGGCAAAGUCUUUGAAAGUUGAAGGUUAUUAGAAAUUCAGAACCUAAAUUUGGGCAUGAAUGGUAAGUGUGAACAAUAAGUUCAAGCAGUGUAACUAUCUUUUAAUGUCCUUUUUUGGAUAAUUUAUUUUGUAGACAUUGACUGUUACGUCAAGAUAUGUCUUGGAUAAAUACGAAUUAGUGGAAAAGAAAAAGUGUCUUUAGGGACAUUGUCAUCAAACGAAGAUGAUCACAAUGAUGAGAAGGAGGAGGAGGAAGAGGCAGAGGGGAAAGAGACGGCUGUGAAGCAUCAGAACACAUCUCUGAACGAGCUUGAGAUUAUAUUCUUUGGAAGCAUACUAACAACGACAACAAAAAACGCAAAAACAAAAACACAGCUGUUUUUCUUAGACAUUUUGU
rnacentral:lncRNA from 1 species